GACGAACGCUGGCGGCGUGCCUAACACAUGCAAGUCGAGCGGGGACGUUGGAGGAAGCCCUUCGGGGCGGAAAGCGACGUUCUAGCGGCGGACGGGUGAGUAACGCGUGAGCAACCUUUCCUUCACAGGGGGAUAACGCACCGAAAGGUGCACUAAUACCGCAUAAGACCACGUUAUCACAUGAUGAUGGGGUCAAAGGAGGAAUCCGGUGAAGGGUGGGCUCGCGUCUGAUUAGCUAGUUGGUGAGGUAACGGCCCACCAAGGCGACGAUCAGUAGCCGACCUGAGAGGGUGAUCGGCCACACUGGGACUGAGACACGGCCCAG
rnacentral:rRNA from 1 species